rnacentral:tRNA from 1 species
UAUUAUUACUUUGGCAGAAUAGUGUAAUGAAUUUAGAAUUCAUAUAUGUAAUUUAUUACAAGUAAUA